rnacentral:rRNA from 1 species
CAGCAGCCGCGGUAAUACGAAGGGUGCAAGCGUUACUCGGAAUUACUGGGCGUAAAGCGUGCGUAGGUGGUGGUUUAAGUCCGUUGUGAAAGCCCUGGGCUCAACCUGGGAAUUGCAGUGGAUACUGGGUCACUAGAGUGUGGUAGAGGAUAGUGGAAUUUCCGGUGUAGCAGUGAAAUGCGUAGAUAUUGGGAGGAACACCGGCGGCGAAGGCGGCUUACUGGACGACAACUGACGUUGAGGCUCGAAGGCGUGGGUAGCAAACAGGAUUAGAUACCCCUGUAGUCCCUGUCUCUUAUAC